CGCUUAUUUGAGCUCCCAGCCGGCUGUACGUCGUCGUUCUCCUUUGCUUCCCUCCAUCUGUCCCUCCCCCAUCAUCUCUUCUCUUUUUCAGCCUCCUCCCACUCUCUCUCUCUCUUGUCCUCCCUUUCUCUUUCUCUCCAUACCAAAGCCGGGGGGAGCUGGCGGAGAUUAAAUGUAGUCUCUAUAAGCCAAAGCACAUCACGUAGCAAUGUUUCUGUGGCCCCGUCCCUCUGCUGCUCCUCGGAGGACGGGGGGAAUGAUAAGAGGACGUAGAGAAAGAUCAGGCCGCAAGUGUGGAAUUUUGAAAAGUCCACUUUGUUUUCUUUUUUGCACACAAGCAGAAGGAUAGAGAUAAAUGGUUUCCUUGGAGGCACACGGACAGCAGCAAGGUGGACUACUCUUCCUCCCAAGCUCACCUUCCUCUCCCUCUGUGUCCCUCUUUCUCCCGUUCUGGCCUGAUGCAGAGGAAAAGAGGGCCUCUGGCUGUAAGUGAUCACAGCUGUGAGGCAAAUUAAAUGAUGAUCUUUCACUCUCCUCUUUCUCCGCUUUGCAAAUGUCCCUUUCACCGUUCACCUCCACCCCAUCCUGUCACCCUCUGGAAGGCGUGGAGGAAGAAAUGGAGGGGGGUGAGAAAGGUAAAAGUAGAAAGCUUGAGAGAGAAAGGUAGAAUGUGAGUGAGGCAGGGGGAGGACAUGAAGAGGGUGGAGAGAGUGUGUGUUUUUUUCUUCCAGUCUUCCCUCCUUCCAUCUCUGCAUGUGAUUGAGGAAGAAAACAAUGCGAGGGAAAAGGGUGAGGAGGAGAGAAAGCAGAGCAAGACAAGAGAUCAGCAGGCACAGUGUUUUUUUUUCCUUUAACUUGGAGGCGUGCGCACGUGUGUGUGUCUCUGUUUUAAUGUGCAUGUCCAUGCAUGGGUUUUUGAUGUCCUCUCUCUUGCCCACCUGCCUUGGACCUGCAGGUCUGGAUGAAAAGUGAGUGGAAGAUCUGCUGCAAGGAAUAGCAAAUGAGUAAACGGCUGUUUUAUGUAUGGUGUAUGCUGUGCAUUCAUGUGUGUGUGCGUGGGUGUGUGUGUGUGCCCACCCGAGCACUCUUUUUGCCUUCUCCUCCCCCCUCCUUUCUCAUCUUGGUGAGGCAGCUUACUGGUAUGCUCCGCUGGCACUGUGGCCCCAGCUGAAAGUAUGGACUCUGUCUUGGCCCUCUCUUUUUUCCCCCUUUCAUCCAUCCUUCUUCUCAUGCAGUUCUUGAUCCCACCCCCUUCUCUUUAUCCUCUGGAAUACUGGCUCUUUCUGAACUGUAAUCUUUACUCACCUUCAAUUUGUUGUUUUCUGCUAAGUUGCAGCAAAUCUGUCCUCUCGUAGGACUGCUUGCUUUCGCCCUAAUUGUGUGCGGAUGUGUGUGUGUGAAAAAUAGAGGGAGGGAAAAAAGAAAGAGAGCAUGCACAUGGUUCAUUCCAGCUCUGUCCUGCCACCCAUCCUCAUCCUUGGCUCAGCCUGUCGCUCUCGCUCUGUUUGUUUAGCCAGACUUGGAGCGGCUCGCCCAGGAGGAAUAGUCUCCCUUGUAUUGAAUCCACUUUUUACGACAAAAUAACAAUUAGAAACGCUCUUCUUUUUUUCCUCAGUAUCAGAGGAAUCGUCCUGGCAUGCUGUAAGCUUUCUCUUUCUAUGUGUGUGCUUUUUUUAUCUUCCAACUCCCAAGCAGGCAGAGAGCAAAAGGAGCACUGGGCGGUGAGGGCAUCCUGGACCCAAAGGGGAGGAUUCUUUGUGUCAUUUCCCCGACCACUGAUAUUCCUCAGUCAGUUCCAAGGAAUAGCGCCUGUGGCGCACUGCCGGCACCGAAACUCAAGUGAUGUCCAAUCAACUAGAUCACUGAAUGGACUUGCCAUUUAUGUUUCACAAAGAAAUGUAAAAUUUCAGUCAUUCACUGGCUGUAAAUGCUUUGAACAGAGUGUGCAGCUGCUUUCAAGUUACUGUCUGCAAAUGCAGGCAUUCUAUUAGUGGGGAUUGUCCCCUUCAGGCCAGAGUUGGUGGGGACAUGUCCACACCGGUCCUCCAGGAAGCUACGCCUAUGGAAGAAAACCAACUAUCUAGUUACCACUAUAAAUUUUAAUUUAACAAGUACAUUAAUUAUUCUUUUUCUAGGUCUUGAAAAAAGCUGAUUCAUUUUACUUUGGCUCUAAAUCUAGAAAUUUUAGUUUUGUAAAAAGAAUGGAACUUAGAAAUAAGAAAUGUGGCUCCCUGAAAUACAAACACAACAUAAAUAGAUGGUAUAGUGUUAAAUGACAUGCUUUUUUGCUUCCUAAUAUAGUCGUAAUCUGGGAGCACUGAGGCGCUCUCAUCAGAAGGCUUUUGUUGGGAUGGAGUUAUUUUAUUGCUGUGUCUAAAAAAAACUUUGCUGCUGUAAUUCACAUUUCCUUUGACCUUAUUAUAUUAGAUGUGGGGUAUUUUUAUGAAACCAAAUCUGUUCAGGGUAUUUUUAUGCCACUUAGAAGGUUUCAGGCAGACUGUUUAAGAACAGAAUAAUUCUUCACUGCAUGCGUGCAUGCACGUGUAUGCGUGCGUGUGCGUGUAUUGUGUGUGUGUGUGUGUUUGUGCGUGUGUGUGACAGGAUGUAUUAAAGCAGCUCAUCUUUGACAACAAAGACCAUUAUAUUCUGCAUGAAGAUAUGAGCAGUGGACAUGAAAAGCUCCGAUUUUUCACUGCUUGCUAUAUUUUUCACCUGAUUUAAAAUGGGAGGUUUUAUUUAGAAAUUUAUUUUGCAUAGUUAUAGUUUACAAAAUAAUACAACAACAAUGCAAAUAAGAGUCACAAGUAGCACAAGUAAUUAUGAGGGGUUGCGGUAAAUUUAAAGGUUUUGUGUAUGAUAUUGUUUUAUACUUCUAUUACUCUUAAAUGAAGAAAUAGUGGAUGCAAGCAUCUGUACAGUUCCAGUGUAACUCUGUUUGUUCUCUGAUAUAGCUGUACGUUGGAUACCUGUUGUACACUCAACAGGUUUUGUCUUUCUCUCUAUUUCAGAUGAUUAAACCAGAUCAUAACAUGUUGAAACAGGCCAGGUACCUGAGAUGGAUUACAAAGUCUUAGCUGCCCCUAUGAACGCACACACACACACACACACACGCACACACACACACACACACGCACGCACACACACGCACACCCGCACACACCCUUCUCGGUAUGGGAUGUCAUUUCCAGAAUGUACAUUUAAAUAUUCCUGCAUGUCUCCUUGAAUGUCUCUGUGAAAUACUGUAAUGACAAUAAAAUACAUCUAAAGUU